rnacentral:rRNA from 1 species
CUACGGGCCGCUGCAGUCGAGAAUCUUUCGCAAUGGGCGCAAGCCUGACGAUGCGACGCCGCGUGAGCGAUGAAGGUCUUCGGAUCGUAAAGCUCUGUCACUUGGGACGAACGUCCUGAAGGCGAAUAGCCUGAUGGGCUGACUGUACCAGGAGAGGAAGCCACGGCUAACUCCGUGCCAGCAGCCGCGGUAAUACGGAGGUGGCAAACGUUGUUCGGAUUCAUUGGGUGUAAAGGGUAUGUAGGUGGCCUAGUAAGUCGAGUGUGAAAUCCUUUGGCUUAACCAAAGAACUGCAUUCGAACUGCCUGGCUUGAGUUUGGGAGAGGAGAGUGGAAUUCCCGGUGUAAGAGUGAAAUCCGUAGAUAUCGGGAGGAACACCAGUGGCGAAAGCGACUCUCUGGCCCAAAACUGACACUGAAAUACGAAAGCUAGGGGAGCAAACAGGAUUAGAUACCCUUGUAGUC